rnacentral:snRNA from 1 species
GUGCUCAUUUUGGCAGCACAUAUACUAAAAUUGGAAUAAAAAGAUUAGCAUGGCCCCUGCGCAAGGAUGAUACGCAAAUUCGUGAAGCCUUCCGUAUUUUU